rnacentral:tRNA from 1 species
GGACUGGGACUUAGUGGUAUAGCGCUCACCUAGCACGUGGGAGGCGCUGGGUUCGAUCCUCAGCACCA